GCCAUUUUUGUUCAGUGGUUAGAGCUUUGGCCUGCAGACCAAAGGGUCUUGGGUUUGAUUCCCAAUCAAGGGCA
rnacentral:tRNA from 1 species